GACGAACGCUGGCGGCGUGCUUAACACAUGCAAGUCGAACGGAAAGGCCCUGCUUUUGUGGGGUGCUCGAGUGGCGAACGGGUGAGUAACACGUGAGUAACCUGCCAUUGACUUUGGGAUAACUUCAGGAAACUGGGGCUAAUACCGGAUAGGAGCUCCUGCUGCAUGGUGGGGGUUGGAAAGUUUCGGCGGUUGGGGAUGGACUCGCGGCUUAUCAGCUUGUUGGUGGGGUAGUGGCUUACCAAGGCUUUGACGGGUAGCCGGCCUGAGAGGGUGACCGGCCACAUAGGGACUGAGAUACGCCCCAGACUCCUACGGGCGGCAGCAGUGGGGAGUAUUGAACAAAGGGCGGAAGCAUGAUGCAUCAACGCCGCGUGCGGGAUGACGGCCUUCGGGUUGUAAACCGCUUUCGCCUGUGACGAAGCGUGAUGGACGGUAAUGGGGAAAGAAGCACCGGCUAACUACGU
rnacentral:rRNA from 1 species